rnacentral:tRNA from 1 species
CCGUUGGUAGCUCAGAUGGCAGAGCGGUGGACUGUAGAUCCAUAGGUCGCUGGUUCAAUUCCGGCCCAACGGA